AUGAACGAUUUCAAUAUAAAUGUAACAUGGGUUAUGAAUACAGUGAAAGAGGAGAUGCUGUAUGCACUGAAUCUGGAUGGCGUCCGUUGCCUUCAUGUGAAGAAAAAUCAUGUGAUAAUCCUUAUAUUCCAAAUGGUGACUACUCACCUUUAAGGAUUAAACACAGAACUGGAGAUGAAAUCACGUACCAGUGUAGAAAUGGUUUUUAUCCUGCAACCCGGGGAAAUACAGCAAAAUGCACAAGUACUGGCUGGAUACCUGCUCCGAGAUGUACCUUGAAACCUUGUGAUUAUCCAGACAUUAAACAUGGAGGUCUAUAUCAUGAGAAUAUGCGUAGACCAUACUUUCCAGUAGCUGUAGGAAAAUAUUACUCCUAUUACUGUGAUGAACAUUUUGAGACUCCGUCAGGAAGUUACUGGGAUCACAUUCAUUGCACACAAGAUGGAUGGUCGCCAGCAGUACCAUGCCUCAGAAAAUGUUAUUUUCCUUAUUUGGAAAAUGGAUAUAAUCAAAAUCAUGGAAGAAAGUUUGUACAGGGUAAAUCUAUAGACGUUGCCUGCCAUCCUGGCUACGCUCUUCCAAAAGCGCAGACCACAGUUACAUGUAUGGAGAAUGGCUGGUCUCCUACUCCCAGAUGCAUCCGUGCUUUACCCUCUGAACUUCUGAUCGAAGGUCAUCCCUCUCCAGCUUGAGUGGAUCAAAGAUGACAAGGGCCAAUGGAACCAAGUUUGAGUCUUGCCAGGUCAAUACUUGGGUCCUGAGUAUGGUGACUAGUAUCUGUUUUGUUAUGUGUGUAUUAUUCCAGCCAGAAUGGGAAAUGCUAAUUCAGCUCCUCCAGGCAGCCCAAUGGGGCUGGUGGCUUUGAGAUUAUUAAACUCUUUCUCUGCUGCAAACC
rnacentral:lncRNA from 1 species